AGAUCCAUCCAUGCAGUCAUUUCUUCCAUCACAUCUGUAGCGAGCAGGUAUGCAUCGGCCACUAAGGCUACAGGUAUAUGCAUGAGUUGCAGUUCUUCAUCUCACAAACCUUGAAAAGAUAACACAAAAUAGUCAUCUGGAAACAGUUUAUAGUUAUGUAGUCAAGAACAAAUACACUAGUUUGAUUUGUGGCAAAAUAUACAUAAAUGAAAUGGAAAAAUACAAUACUAUUGGACUAACUGUGGUACAACUACACACAAGAAGCCCUAACAAUUAUUCUACAGCCCCACACUUUGUGACCAAAAUUAGAUGUUCAUGCCCAUUGUUCGCACGCAUCCUUUCUCUGCGCACGCUUAUUGUGAUGACGUCAUUCCAAUGUUUUGAUAAGCAAGAGGACCCCCUUUUUAUUUUGUUUUUUUGAAAGUACUUGGUAAUAAUCAACCUUAGAGGAAAACGUUUUUAAAUCUGACAAUGGGGUCAAAACAAAAUUACAUAUUUUGUGCAUAAUUAGAAUAGAAUUUCAUUUAACACAAAGACUUGUACCCCAAUAACAUUUUAUACUUCUAGUAUGAUGUACUUUCAUCAUUCGAAAUUUUUAAAAAAAAUUGACAAUGAGAUCUUUUGCCCAUGAACGUAUUGGUUAUUUUUGAAAUCAUCAUUUGUUUUAUGAGAAUGUAACAGCUUCACUUCCCUUCAAUCAAAGUAAAUGGAUUAUAUUUUUGCUGUUACUUAAUCUUCACAUGUUGAUCUACCAAAGUGUUUCUCAGAUUUCUUAAUUGUCACUUCAUUUUGACCAUUAUCAUGCAUUAUCAUGCAUACAAAAAAUAUAUAUUUUAGCCCCACAUUUAAUUUUUUUCCUGUGCUGGCACUAAAGCCACAGGAAGUCCAAUGGUGAUAACACUGUACACCUUGUAGGGGACUACUGUCUUGUUCUAGAUAUUGUAUUUUUACCUGCCUUUGGCGAAUAUUGUUUCAAUAAAUAAAAUAAAUAUUUUGCUA